rnacentral:lncRNA from 1 species
GGAUUUGGAUGUUUACGUAUUUCAAAAGAAUCGAUUUUUAAAAAAGAGGAGCCUUCAACUUUGUUCUUUGCUUUCGGACUUGCUGUGUCGGAGUCGGGCUGCUUAGUUAUUAGCUGGGAAAGUCGAGAGAAAAGGGGGGAGGCUGAGCCUAGGGAUGCGGCGGUCGGCGGCGGCUCAUCGCUGUUGUCCGUCCGGCGCACAGUAAGAGAGGAGGUGUAAGAGUGUGGGGGAUCUGGAGCUCUGCGGCGGCAGCCCUAUGGCUGUGCAGUCGCCGGACUUCAAGGAGAGGUAGAGAAAGGGCGGCGGUGGCUGAGUUCGGGAUCGUGGGCUCGGCGGCGGCGGCGGCUUCGUCGUCGUUCUGUUCGGAGCAGGGGAUAGGAGAG